UCCGGGUCGCGCGAGGCUUAAAGGGGAGGACCGUCCCUCCGCCUGGCCUCCGACGGAAAGCGGGCGUGCGCGGGUCCACGCCGGAGGGAAGCGGGUCCCCUGGGCUGCCUGAGGUCAGGGCUCAACCCGAGAGCGCGGCGGAGCGCUGGGCCGGCUCUGGCCGAGCCGCUGCGUGGCGACGGUGGCCGCGGCUGCAGGUGGAGCACGAUGGGACGGAGGCACAGAGGUCUAGUGCUUGACCUGCAGCAGCUCUGAGGUCAGACCUGUGGGGCUCAGCCUCGCCUGGAACACCAGGAACACCCCACUCAUAGCCACUCCUGAAUGCCACAGUGCCCAAGGAUACCUCACUACCAUUGUCAUCCCAUUUCAUACCGGAGGAAACUGAGGCACAGCGGGUUUCCAGCACAGGGCCAUCCCAGAGAAAUCAGCUGCACUGAGGUCCUUGCUCACACCCUGCCUAGAAAGGAGUCGGCUGCCUGAUGAAAGCCUCUCUCCCGCAUGCUCUGCGUCCAGCCACCAGCACUGAGAAGGGCACCAGUAGUUGCCCAGAACUCUAGAAUGGAUGCGUCCAUGGCCUCGUUACUGAGAUCAAUGGUUCAUCUUAUUUCCUUAAUGUGAAAUGUUUAAUACACUGUCAUAGAACUUGGCUGGCUAAGAAAUUACAAGUAAUAAGUGCUUUGUUUUGAACCACGGAGUACUUCAUUGUUAUUAUGGGAAACCCAGCUCUCCCUAUCCCACCUUUUAAAUCAACGUGGAAGCAGUGUUUGAGUGCUGUCGGUCUGCAAGGGGCCUGGUGGCCUCAGCAGCCAUCAUUCUGCUAUCCUGGAAAGAUGGCUGGAGCUCCAGACCUAAGGUGACAACACAGAAGGAAGCGCAGCACCUUCUCAUAAACGCUGACUGGACACUGAGCUACCGAGAAGACCUCAAUAGAGCUCCAGAAUUCACAGGGAAGUGUUUCCUGCUUACAAGGCAGUAACGCUGGAAACUGGAAAGUAGAGGUCCAUUUUACUCGGAAAUCUAUAGAUUUUUUCCUUAACUCUUAGGCCAAAGGCAAAAAUAAAUCCACAUGCACAAUCCCUAAGGUAAGGGAACACGGCCUGUCAGGAACUGUGAGUAGUGCUUCAUGGGAAACACAGAGCCUCAAAUUCAAACAUGUCGAUUAUUUUAAAAGGAAGAAUGAAAGUCAGGGAAUUCAGCACUGAUUUAAAGGGUUAGAAAAUAAAGACUGGCGCGGUGGCUCACGCUGAGGCAGGUGGGCUACCUGAGCUCACAGCUCACCACCCCGAGCGGGGCGGCACCUGUGGCUCAGCGGGUAAGGCGCAGGCCCCAUAUACUGAGGGUGGCGGGUUCAAACUCGGCCCCGACCAAAACUGCAACAAAAAAAUUGGCGGGCGCCUGUAGUCCCAGCUACUUGGGGGGCUGAGUCAAGAGAAUCGCCUAAGCCCAAGGAUUUGGUGGUUGCUGUGAGCUGUGUGACGCCACGGCACUUCACCGAGGGAAAUAAGGUGAGACUCUGUCUCUACAAAAAAAAAAAAAAAACCACCCUGAGCCAGAGCGAGACCCCUGUCUCUAAAAAUAGCUGGGCAUUGUGGUGGGCGUAUGUAGUCCCAGCUACCUGAGAAGUUGAAGCUAGAGAAUUGCAUGAGCCCAAGAGUUUGAGGUUGCUGUGAGCUAAGAGGCCAUGGCACUCUACUGAAGGCAAAGUGAGACCCUGUCUCAAAAUAAAUAAAUAAAUAAAAUAAAGGUUAGAAAAUAAAAAAACAAGAAUAAGUGAGAAUAAAGUAGAAGGAUGGAAUUAAUAAAAGCAAAAACAGAAAUAAGUGAGGAGAAAAUAGAAAAAACAAGUAGAAAUAAGUAAUAAGGCAAAUUUGAAUAAAAAAAUGAGUAAAUGACUAGCUAAUUGAGUGAAGGAAAUAAUGGAGAAAACACAAAUACACAAAAAGUGAGAAUGUGGAAAACAACCAUAGGAAUAAGGAAAAUUCAAGUGACUAUUAAAUAAAAUUUAGUUCAUGCAUGGCGGCUCGAUAAAAUAGGAAUUCAUGGAUGCUUUUGUAACAAGGAAAUAUAUGUUAACAUUAUGUUCACUUAAAUAAAUACCAACCUAAAAGUCAGCAUCAUCCUUAAUGAGGAAACUCUGGAGUUAUUCCCAUUAAAGUCAGAAACAAGGCAGGAAUCCCCAGCGUCACUGCUAUUUAACCUGGUACUAUAUA